rnacentral:rRNA from 1 species
GAUGAACGCUGACAGAAUGCUUAACACAUGCAAGUCAACUUGAACUUCGGUUUGGGUGGCGGACGGGUGAGUAACGCGUAAAGAACUUGCCUCACAGAUAGGGACAACAUUUGGAAACGAAUGCUAAUACCUGAUAUUAUGAUUUUAGGGCAUCCUAGGAUUAUGAAAGCUAUAUGCACUGUGAGAGAGCUUUGCGUCCCAUUAGCUAGUUGGAGAGGUAACGGCUCACCAAGGCGAUGAUGGGUAGCCGGCCUGAGAGGGUGAUCGGCCACAAGGGGACUGAGACACGGCCCUUACUCCUACGAGAGGCAGCAGUGGGGAAUAUUGGACAAUGGACCAAGAGUCUGAUCCAGCAAUUCUGUGUGCACGAUGAAGUUUUUCGGAAUGUAAAGUGCUUUCAGUUGGGAAGAAAAAAAUGACGGUACCAACAGAAGAAGUGACGGCUAAAUACGUGCCAGCAGCCGCGGUAAUACGUAUGUCACAAGCGUUAUCCGGAUUUAUUGGGCGUAAAGCGCGUCUAGGUGGUUAUGUAAGUCUGAUGUGAAAAUGCAGGGCUCAACUCUGUAUUGCGUUGGAAACUGUGUAACUAGAGUACUGGAGAGGUAAGCGGAACUACAAGUGUAGAGGUGAAAUUCGUAGAUAUUUGUAGGAAUGCCGAUGGGGAAGCCAGCUUACUGGACAGAUACUGACGCUGAAGCGCGAAAGCGUGGGUAGCAAACAGG